rnacentral:misc_RNA from 1 species
GAAAUGCGAUACGUAAUGUGAAUUGCAGAAUUCAGUGAAUCAUCGAAUCUUUGAACGCACCUUGCGCUCCUUGGUAUUCCGAGGAGCAUGCCUGUUUGAGUGUCUUGAAGCCAUCAACUCGGCUCCCUUUUUCCCUUGGGAGUCUGUGUUGGAUGUUGGGGGUCUGCGGCCAACCCGGCCGCUCCCUUCAAAUGCAUCGGUUGGGCUGUGGGUCGAACUUGUCUGGGUGUUGUACUAUCCUCACUCUGGCUGAGAUGUUCCCGCCUUGUGUGCCCUGCCUGGACCUGCCCGUUUGGAGAGGCGGUCAAGACGAACUUUUUGAAAUCUGACCUCAAAUCAGGUAGGACUACCCGCUGAACUUAA